UGUGGAUGAGUACUUAAUGGAUACUUCCAUGACUGGUCAAGACCACAAAUGAAAGCUGUUUGUCAGGGCUGGCUAGAUAUCCCGGACCUGACCUGAAUGGCCACCACAGUAAAGGUGAUGUAUAGACAGAGAGUGGGAAAACUGAGCGUGUAAGACAUCCAAAGAGGUUAGCUAUGAGGUCAGAUGUGUUUUGGGUUGGAUUUUGGAUGUGUUCUCAGUACAGUAGCUUUCUGCUUUUCAAAAUGUGUUGUAAGAGUGUAAUAUUGUCGACCACAUCUCCUUAUCACUUUUCCAGCCCAGCUAUCCAUUCUGUAUUCGUUGGACGGAGAACUGAUAAGGGCAUGUGUCUGACACUUUCCGCCAAUAAUAGAGAGAGCUGUACAUAAAAUGGUACUACAAAGAAAAACUCUCCUGUCCAGCAGCAGCAUUACCACCUGUAUCCUUAACAGGGUUAUUUGGGUAACUGGAGUUAUAUCUACUCCAGUCUCAAUAUGUUACAACCUAUUCAUAACACUUGUUUGCUUCUUUUUCACAGAAAACGUUUUGAAUUUUUUCUCAGAAAACCCAUGGAAUCAAUCCUCUGAAUGCAUGUAUUUUUUGUAUCCCUUCAGGUUGCUAUUGUUUGCAAACCAUUUGGUGACUCAUACUAGCAUUCAUAGCAACUUCAUUCUAUAUAGAGGUCAAUCUUCUAUUAUUAUGUAUGAGCAAUGCUUAUAUGAUCACAUAUGAAUUGUAUGCUUUACAAAAACACAAUAGCAAUCCAAAUCCUCCAGGCACACAAAUGACUAAGAUUUGCUUGGAUAAACAUGAUUUCCUUUAGUGAGUAAAUGUGGCUAAUUUGCUCAUUCAAAAAACAGAUUGUGCAUCUGUUUGAUAUUCUGAUGUAAUUCAGAAGACUGAAUUCAACCUGGUGAAUACAGGCAGGACCCAGAGUAGAGCCCCUCUACACAGCAACAGGUUGGAGACAACAUGGGCCACUAAUUAAACAUUCACUGCAUGAGUUGACUGCCUACUACAGACUGUACUGAGCUGGAGAUGGGUCCUGUGUGAGAGAGCAUUCCUGAAACUGUGGUGGCAGACAUAAUUACAGAGCAGUAGCACUCAGACAGUCAGGUUUGGCCAACAUUUAAGGCCCCAGGGCAAAAUCCAAAGCACACUUCAAAUCAUGGUGUCUAGUAUAUUGAUGUAAUAUUUAAAUGAUGUAUGAGCGUCAUGAUGACCAAACUCAUUAAUAAAAGAUGAGAUGUUAUGUGUUUUUUAGGUAAACAAGUAGAAAACGUGAGAUAUACUGACGACAAUUAUGAUGAAAAUAAAAAGCUAAUUGCUGUUUU